rnacentral:rRNA from 1 species
UGGGGAAUUUUGGACAAUGGGCGCAAGCCUGAUCCAGCCAUACCGCGUGAGUGAAGAAGGCCUUCGGGUUGUAAAGCUCUUUCAGACGGAAAGAAACGGUCGCGGCCAAUACCCGCGACUAAUGACGGUACCGUAAGAAGAAGCACCGGCUAACUACGUGCCAGCAGCCGCGGUAAUACGUAGGGUGCGAGCGUUAAUCGGAAUUACUGGGCGUAAAGCGUGCGCAGGCGGUUUGGUAAGACAGGUGUGAAAUCCCCGGGCUUAACCUGGGAACUGCAUUUGUGACUGCCAGACUAGAGUGUAGCAGAGGGGGGUAGAAUUCCACGUGUAGCAGUGAAAUGCGUAGAUAUGUGGAGGAAUACCGAUGGCGAAGGCAGCCCCCUGGGCUAACACUGACGCUCAUGCACGAAAGCGUGGGGAGCAAACAGGAUUAGAUACCCCCGUAGUCCCUGAGCGGGCUGGCAAGGCGCAU